AUUGAACGCUGGCGGCAGGCCUAACACAUGCAAGUCGAACGAGUGGCGGACGGGUGAGUAAUGUCUGGGAAACUGCCUGAUGGAGGGGGAUAACUACUGGAAACGGUAGCUAAUACCGCAUACCAUCGGAUGUGCCCAGAUGGGAUUAGCUAGUAGGUGGGGUAAAGGCUCACCUAGGCGAAGAUCCCUAGCUGGUCUGAGAGGUUGACCAGCCACACUGGAACUGAGCCACGGUCCAGACUCCUACGUGAGGCAGCAGUGGGGAAUAUGUCACAAUGGGCGCAAGCCUGAUGCAGCCAUGCCGCGUGUAUGAAGAAGGCCUUCGGGUUAUAAAGUACUUUCAGCGAGGAGGCGUUACUCGCAGAAGAAGCACCGGCUAACUCCGUGCCAACAGCCGCGGUAAUUC
rnacentral:rRNA from 1 species